UACGAAGGGGGGCUAGCGUUGCUCGGAAUCACUGGGCGUAAAGCGCACGUAGCGGCGCCGUAAGUCAGGGGUGAAAUCCUGGAGCUCAACUCCAGAACUGCCUUUGAUACUGAGGAUCUUGAGUUCGGGAGAGGUGAGUGGAACUGCGAGUGUAGAGGUGAAAUUCGUAGAUAUUCGCAAGAACACCAGUGGCGAAGGCGGCUCACUGGCCCGAUACUGACGCUGAGGCACGAAAGCGUGGGGAGCAAACAGG
rnacentral:rRNA from 1 species